GUGCUUAAUCCUGAACUAACCUCACUGGAAUCUGUACAGUCGCCAGUAAGGAGAUUAUGUAAACCACACCGGUUCCCCAACUCACCAGCCUCCACACAACACCAAAGAUAAGUGACAGAUGCCGAGGAGACAGUGGGAUAAGCCCUGGUGCCCUGCCGCCGCUGCUGCUGCCGCCGCAGGACCGUUUCCAAGCCUACUUCUAAGGAAUUCUGGGAGAACACACCACGCAAUGUAAGCUGCUGUCACUCACAGUUGGGACCUUUGAUCAUGAAGAGCUCAGCACCCACUCGAAAGACCUGAGCGUGUCCUCCAGCAAGGAGUCUGUCACAGAGCAAGCACAGAAAAGCAAGCGGUACCACCUCCCAAAGUCUAGGUCUGACAAUAGGGUUUCUGAGAGUUUCUGUCUGGUCCCUGGUGGAAGGAAAAUCUCGGCCUCAACCGAGCUCCACUUAAAAUAAAAGCAACUCUGGAAUUGUA